rnacentral:rRNA from 1 species
UACGGGAGGGGCAAGCGUUGUUCGGAAUUACUGGGCGUAAAGGGCUCGCAGGCGGCCGACUAAGUCAGACGUGAAAUCCCUUGGCUUAACCAAGGAAUGGCGUCUGAUACUGGAUGGCUUGAAUUCGGGAGAGGGAUGUGGAAUUCCAGGUGUAGCGGUGAAAUGCGUAGAUAUCUGGAGGAACACCGGUGGCGAAGGCGGCAUCCUGGACCGAUAUUGACGCUGAGGAGCGAAAGCCAGGGGAGCAAACGGG